rnacentral:lncRNA from 1 species
UCCUAUUGUUACCUAAGAUUUUUUUUCCUAUGAGGCCGGUUACUAUUUAAGCAUAAUCAGGGUGAACCUAAUAAAUUUAUGAUAACUCUGAAGUUUAAUAUGUGUUUACGUGCCUACCUAAGAGUAUCAUGCCAAUUGCUUGAGCAGCGGGCAAUGGUAAUUAUUCUCCUAAGAUGAUGCUGAGUUUCAGCAAUGUAGACCCAUUUGUUCAUUUCCAAUCUUUGGUGCUUUUGCAGAUAUGUAAUGUUGUUGCAAUUGCUGAGAUAAUGGAUGCAACACUAAUUUUACCAGUUCUGAAGCAGGACCAUAUGAAAAGACCAGAUGUAAGUGCUAUUUUCUCUUGUAAAAACUUGUUUUACUUGUCUAUCUCCCACUGGUAUACAUGUCUUUAAUUGAUAGUUAUUACACAGAGUUUGCUUUACUUAUUUUUUUAAAUCGUGAUGAACUACAAAUAGUGUCCUACUAGAAUAUUGGGAAAAUGAAAAUGAGUGGUGGUUAUUCACUUAUUGUAGCAUAAUCACUGUCAGACUGAGUUUUUAUGCAUGCGUGUGAUACCAAUAUACUUCUAAUAUUAGUACUGGGUUCUUAAGGAUUAUUUUCUUCUCAUACUACCGCUGGAAUGAUCAAAAUAUGUUCCCUAAAAGCCACUGUUCUUCAUGAUUAUAUCGUUGUAAUCGUAUAUUAUAAGACUGCAUAUCGAAGUCAUUUAAUAAGAUUUUGAGUUCCAUCUAUAAGGAAAAAUUGCAAUAUCAUGUUUAAUAGGUCUAUAGUUUUCUUACUCCUGUACUGGGUGUUGAAUAAUGAACUAACUGAUAUUUGAUGUAAUGUAGAAUCUUAAUUAUCAUAGUUGCAGUAUCAGAUUAUCUUUCUAUGCUGCCUUGUGACCAUGAGGUCACGGGUUCAAGUCCUGGAAACAACCUCUUAUAUAGAUGUAGGGAAAGGCCGCGUACUAUAGACCCAAAGUGGUCGGACCCUUCCCCAGACCCUGCGCAAGCGGGGAGGUACAUGCGCGGGGCUGCCCUUUAUUAGUAUUUUGAUUGUGAAGAACAUAUGCCUUCUCUGUAGAAGAUCAUUCUUUUUACCACCUUAUAACUAGAUCACUGAUGUAUCUAAUCUAGAUGGAUCAUUCAAAUAGGUGCACGAUCCAUACAAUGGUUUUUAUGGUCAUUCAAGUUGAGCGCCGAGACACUCGAGGUGAUGAGGUAGAGUUCAGUGCUUCUGCUGGUGCAUACGUAGGUUUUGGUACAAUAGCUAUUUAGCUAAUUAUUUGUUCUAUCUCAUAAGUGGAAUGAUCAAUUGACUUUGACUGUAAAUUAAUAAACAGACACAACGGACUAGCUGAGUACCUACGUAGCUAAUCAUUGAUCUUGUCUUGAGUGAAAGGGUGUCGUUUGUUAAUUCAGAGACUGGCUAAAAGGUAACCCAUACGGCUUUAUUUGUUUAUUUCCCUUCUGAACCCUUAUUUACUUGGCUUAUGUUGAUGAUAUUUCUAAUCUUUGCAGGUAUACUCAACUGCAUCUUAGUUUUGUGCUCCUGCAUAUUGUUAUUGUGUUUAUUCCUAUCAGCUAAUAUAAAUAUCAUAACUCUCAAAGUUUUCAUUAUUAGUUUUUUUACAGAUUCUUGAAGCUUUGCGUGCUGGAUUCUCCAAUGUAAUUGAAGUAGCUCAACAUCAUGUAGUUACAUUGUCAUGGUAGUAAUCUUUGCCUGUUGUUGACUUAAGAGAGCUAGCUGUUUGCUAGAAUAUAUUAAACUGCUAAUUUUACACCUAUUUAUGUACAUGUCAUCAUAGUUAGAAUUUCAGAAUCAGUUUUGAUUUAUGAAAAUGCUAGCUUUUUCAUAGUAUAGAAAUAGUUUUCACGAAUUAUAAUGGCAAAUUAUUUUUCUUGUUUUCACAAGUAAUAAUGCCAAAUGCUUUUCUUGUGGUAUUCAGAAGUUAAGGCACUGCGUUUCAGAUUGACGACGGUUUAUACAUGGAUGGGGUUGGCAGUUUCGAGCCACUUAAUUUACGGGUGGCGAUUGCUGUCACCGUUGUUUAAUACCAAAUAUAUUAUCCGUCUAGCUAGAUUUUUAUUUGUGUUUGUGUCACAGGCUGCUAAGAAUGUUCUAGCUGCUGUGGCAGCGACAUCGUCUGUUCCUGCUUUCAGGGCACCCUACUGCAAAUACACCUUCUGGAUCAGGUAUGUAUCAUAUGGCCGUUUGUCUCUCCAGCACGCACAUGAACUACAACCUUAAUCGUGCUCAGUAACAUAUUUUGUGAUUAGAGUCCACCCGUCUAGGCGCCGCCAUCAUCCUCGCACCGUCGCGCGCUGCGCCGGAGACACGGACGAGGUCGAGCAGUAUGUGCCUUCGUCCUCUUCCCUCGGAGUGUGGGACCGAGGAUAAGGACGAGGAGAAGAAAUAUGUGGCAUCUUCAUCGUUGUCUCUUGGCGCGCGGUGCUGGAGAGACAGAAAAGGAGGUCGAGAGCUGGAAGUGCGGCAUAUUGUAGUGUUUUGUUUGAUGGGGAAAUAUCUUUGUAUGCCAGCAUAUUUUGUAGUGGUUUGUUUGAUGGGAACUACCUUUGUAUGCCUGCAUAUUUUGCUUAGGUAUUGAUGAUUCCAUGCUAAAUUUGUACAAGAUUAAAAAAAAAAUUGUGAGUGCAACAACUAUUUGUUAGUUGCACCAAAUUAAAUUCAUACAACUGUGUUACACAGAUCUGCAAAUGCAAAUAAAAAUGUGUGUGUACAUUAG